GGGGACGCGGGGCUCGGAGGCACGAUCAGAGGGGGUGAAGAAAAGGAGAAAGGAGAAACGGGCCCCGGAGGAAAGUUAAAAGAGAAGAAACGCGCAGAAGGCCGUGGAGUUCUCCAGCUGCGGCGGAGGAAGGACAAUCCAUGUUGGUCAUCUAAAGCCGGAGCUUAGAAGUCAGCUGCAGCUAAGAAGAGACCAGCAUCAUCGAGGAACAGGACAGCACUUGGAAACUGGGGACCAGAGGGAGCCAAGGCUGCUCACUAUGCUGGCAGCUAAAGAUGGAGUCCACAGUUGAGAGACUUUGAACUUCUAAAGGUAUUUAGGGAAGAGCACACUGGGCUGUCCAGUGCCGCAGGACCAACCCUGAAAACAUACAUACAAGUAGCACUACAGACUGAACAGCCUCAAUAUGUCUUCCACCCAGAGGGGCCUCCUUGUGAAGACUGCCCAGACCUCUGAGAGUUCAUUCCCAGCUGCCCUGUCCGCCGGUCAUCUAGUGAUGAUUUUCUUUGUAUGGAACACAAGCAAACAAGGAAACCCGGGGCU